AUUGAACGCUAGCGGGAUGCUUUACACAUGCAAGUCGAACGAGUGGCGGACGGGUGAGUAAUAUAUCGGAACGUGCCCAGUAGCGGGGGAUAACUACUGGAAAGAGUGGCUAAUACCGCAUCCAAUUGGAGCGGCCGAUAUCGGAUUAGCUAGUUGGUGGGGUAAAGGCUCACCAGGGCAACGAUCCGUAGCUGGUUUGAGAGGACGACCAGCCACACGGGGACGGAGACACGGCCCAGACUCCGACGGGAGGCAGCAGUGGGGAAUUGUGGACAAUGGGGGAAACCCUGAUCCAGCCAUCCCGCGUGUAUGAGAAGGCCUUCGGGUUGUAAAGUACUUUUGGCAGAGAGGCGGUAUCUGCAGAAUAAGCACCGGCUAACUACGUGCCAGCAGCCGCGGUAAUUC
rnacentral:rRNA from 1 species